UAAUGUAAUAUGAGAUCAUUGCAUGUAAACAGGUUCAAGAUGAGCAGCAAGACUCCCUGAAGUCUCCCAUGUUUCAAAGGAAGACAGAAGCAAUACCCAGAACUUGAACUAUCCAUAUCCUUAAAAUGUGGAAUCAACAGAAUUGUUUCUGAAAGCUCUGCCUCUGGACAUCAGAAGAGUCAGAUGACAUGUCACCGGAAAAAGUGUGUACAGCAUGAAGGCACAUGGAAGAAAAUUCCCACUGUUGAAAUCAACCAGGAGGAAUGACUUCACAGGCUGUAAAAUAUUGCUUCUGCCCUGGCAACAAUUUUUAAUAAAGCUGGAUGUUUUUAGCAGCUAAAGUCAAAUUUGUCUUUAGCAUCCUCCCCAUUUUAGAAACAGGACUGAAUAAACAAUUCCUGUCACACAAGAAAACUCUCUUGCUCAUUGGAAUUGCUGGGCUCUUCAGCACCCUUCCUUGGACAUUUCUGGAAUAGAUACACGAAUGGAGAGCAACAGAUUGAUAUGAAAAGGAAAAUGGCAAGACAUGUCAAGAGACAAAUGUCUGGGUUCCCAUUCGGAGAGUCUAGAUGACCAUACCUGGUGCAACUGUUCGGUAACUCUGGACACAGCCUGCGGAGAGAGGAAUAAAAGACUGGGAUUUUCCGUUAAGUUGCCCACAACACGUGGAGGGGAAGUUUGGCACCACCGCAUUCCUGCACCUCCAGGCUGGUAAAGGUCACUUCCUGUGAGCCUCUGGUCACAGAGCAGAAAAGUUCCCGGCACCCUCAGGUGUUAGCCAGCCCUCCUUUCUUGACAACAGAGAAUCCUUUCAUGAAACACAUUUAUUUUACAUUUUGAUAUUUUAAUGCUUCAUUGGCCUAUUUAGAAAUUGGAAAAUCUUACAUCCCCUCUCGAGAAAUCUGGCAGGUAUGUUUGGCUCAUACUGGGAAAGCAAAACCACUGGCAAACCCUCUAGCCUUUGCUAAAAUUCAAAAAGGACAGUCCAAGUGUUAAAGGCAUUUGGAACACCCUUUGGGAAUGCUGGGGACUCAAGCAUGAAAGAAUGAAGACUUAAGGAAGGGUAAAGUUUUUUACACAGCAAAUUCUGGGGUGUAAGGAUGACUUUCAGACAAACAGUAUAGCUCCCCGAAACAGUAUAUAGGUCAGGGUUUUAGGGUAAUGGAGAAUAGAGAAGCCAAGCCUCUUGUCCAAAGCUUUUUGAGUCUCACAUACUUACUUAGCAGCAAUUCUGAGAAAGUGUUGUUGAGUGCAGUAAGAGUUUGCACACCAGGAGCCAUAUUUGUCUGUUCUUCAGCAGCUCACGUCACCAAAUGCGCUCUGGAAAAUACUUGAGCAUCUCUUUGGAGAUGAGGAGCAGAGCUGAUGGACCAGGAGUGCAGGGCCAAUGCUGCAGAUGUGGGUAGGUUGAGAGUAGGGACAGCAGUUGGUGAGAAGCUCUUAAGACAACUUGUAAAAGAACUACUGACAGUAGAGAUUACUCCACCAGGCAGAGCUCUAAAUGGAUAUUUGUAUACACAUAAUAUCUUAUGCAACACAAGAUAAUGGCAAUGUCCCAUAGAUACUUACCAUGCAUUUUAAAGAAACACCUAGUGAAAAUGCCCCACUAUUGAAGAACAAUUCUAUUCUUGAAAUAGCACAGAAAAAUGGAGAAAUGUCCUUGAUAAACUGAAAGUUUCCAUGACAACAUUACUCUAUAGCUGUAUUAACCACAGUGUGCUACAAAAAUUAUUAAAUGAGCUUGGAAUUAGGGUUCAGAUUCUCAGCUGAUGAGACAUUUCUGUAGUUUGAAAAACCUGCAUUUUGUUUUGUGCUAAAAAAUCUCAGGAGUUUGCGGGCAUACAAUGAAAUAUUAAGAUUCUGCCUAAAAUCCUUUAAGGAAUCUACAGCAUCACGAGUCUUCAGGCAUUCACUUAAUUUGGACCAUAUGAACCUCAUGAGUCAUUUUCAAUCAAUCAGAAGGUAACUGCUCAAGAGCAAGAGACAGCAAAAUAUAGCUAGUGCCAUACUACAAGCCUCGCACAGCAUACACACAGAGUGCCAGGAAUAUCCUGUGCUGCCCAGUUGUUAUCAGGCUGUUAAGCCGAUAUAUAAAAGAGUGAGAAGUGUUGUCACUUGCAGCUAGGAUCAACAAGGCUGACUGAGCACCAGAGCAGUGACUGUAGGUAGGAGAGUCAGUGUCAUUUUAAAGGAAGUUUUAAAAAUGGAAUGGAAGAUGGGAAAGAAAGGAGAAAUCAGAGGUUCAGAGAGAGCAAGGCUGAAGGGAAUGUCCCUGCAACCAUUCAGUCUUUCCCUAAUGUUCAUGGUGGGGAAAGGCUAAAUGUGACCAGUCACAGAGACUGUAUUAGACCAUAUACAGUUUCAGUGAAGCAAGCACUGUUUAAGGAACUGUCUGCAAGGGGAGGUGAGUUGAGUCAAUGCAUGCUUGUUUUGGGUCUCCUGCUAAAGCUCAACCCAGUGCUGCAGUUGACCCAGAAAAGUGGAGGAAUGGCAAUGAAUGGGCUUCCAGUCAGUAGAGGCUUGCAAGAGACAAGCCCUGACAGCAUGUGGUGAUGCCAUCUGGCUGCCUUUCUGUGGCUUUUGGCAGACUCAGUAAUUGCAGGCAGCAUCUGAGGAAGUCGUGGCAACUGAGCUUGCCAUUCACUUCUCAAAGCUGCCACUCCAAGUUGGGUGUGAGGCCAAGCGGUGUGGCCAGAGCCCUGUGUGGGUGUGAGAAGCUGGCCCUGUCUUUUGUCAGCCUACAUCUGCUCUCUGGGGACACAGCUCCAGUUUCUAAUGCUGCCAGGUUGGUAUGCCUCACUGCUCCACUGACCGGUUUUAAGGAAAAUGUUAAUCACACUUAGUUUGUAUUAGUUACAAAGAAAAGACUAUGAAGUCCAAACUACUCAGGUCAGUAGCACUGUUACUGGCAUAUUCCCGAGCUUAAAGCAUGUCUGAGUCACCACCCUCAGAUAAAUGAGUGUAAUAUUUCUGUUGAGGGAGCUUUGCAUUUUGCAAAUAUUAAGGUUUUAAUGGAAGAACCCAUCUAGUGUGAGUGCAUCUCUGUGGAUACCACAUUGUCAAACACAGACUGAAAAACCAGAGAUCUGGGUACUCCAGAAGACCCUGGAGAGGCCCUGGGAGUCACCCACAUUGUGACAGCAUUGGAGGGCUCAUUUGAAGAUGAAAGUCUCCAGGUUGCACACAGCUGCAGCCGGACCUGUGCCCGCUGCUAGAAAAUAUCAAAAUGCCAAACACUUCGGGGUACCUGAGGUCUGGAGAGUGCACGAGUACUUUCCAUUGCUUAGCUGUUGCUUAUCCUUCUCCCAGAACUGGAUGCAAACUCCAGAGGUGUGUGCUGGACCCAACAGCGCACUGCAACUGUAACCACCCAUCAUUCUGCCGGUCCAGGAUCAUGUCCUGGAGGGACUAAUUUUAGAAACCUAAUAAUGUGAGAGAGAAUCCCAGGUGUUGUUCACAUGAAAGGUUUUACUCUUUCCCUAGCAAAAGAGACACAGAAUGUAAUCGAAUUUUGGUCACAUACUGUAAGUUACCGGGUUACUUUGGUAACCAGCUCUCUACACCUGAGCUGUGUCACUGGGUCCUGGGAAUAUCUUCAGUUUUUCUUGUGCUUUUGACAGGCUAUGGAGAGCUGGGUGCUUCCAAUCCCAUCAAUGCCCUCAGCAACUCUUUUUUCAAGUUGGCUGUGUGCUCUGCCAAGUUACUCACUCCUUCACAAUGGUGUUCAAUGGUAGGGAAGCAGUACGAGCCAGGGUGGGUUAAGCCUACAACUGAGCCUGAAAAUCCCAAGUCCUAGACUUAUGCCAUUCUCAACCAGGUCAUUCCACCUCUGUGCUUCUCUUAGCCGAGCCUUAAACCAACAGCCCCAAAGAAAGGCAAGAACAGGGAUUCAGAAGUGCUGAAUAACUCCAAGGGACUGCAAUGCAUCCUACACCACCAACUCCCAUUUGUUGCAGUUUGUCAUAGCCAGCUGAUGAGUAAGCCCCACCCUAUGACAAGCAGUCAAGUGGGAAGGGCAGCAAAAAAGUCCUCCCCACUUGUAGUAGAGUGUUGCUCCAUUAAGGCUUGAUGUGCUCCAGAAAAUGCACUCAAACUGGUAUUUCUGGGAACAGAUCCUCACUCUUCCCGGGAAGCGCAUUAUGUGAACCCUGCCCCAAAACACUGCUAAAACUUUUCUGCCUUGAGCUGUGCAGUGAGUUGGUUGAGCCCACAGCUAGCCAAAGGAAGGGAAGAUGUCCCACCCCAGGUACUACUAAUCCAAGAACCAAUAUCACCCCUUCUCCGAAUCCCUCUUGCACUGGCAUUGGUUUAAGUAUUGUGUAAUUAAACAUGACUUUCAAUGCUUCCACUUAUUUCUUUCUUCUUCUUUUUAGUGGCUAAAGGGACAUCUUCCCAACUCCUGAUUUACACAUUGUUGUUUCAAGUUCAAAAUAUAGCGGUCGGUCCUUCAUAAAACAUGUGCUCCAUUUCCUGCUCUUCCCCUCCCUGGAGAGGGGAGAGUUGUUGUUUGUCUCUCUGCUUUCCCCCCUCUCCCACUGCAUCCCUACCAACCCCUCCAAGGCUUUUCCCUCACCUUUCUCACAAUUUCCCUUAAUGCUGGUCACCCCUCCUCUCCUCUGCAGCCCUUUGCUAUUCACAUCCUCACUCCGGAACACUCUUCUUGCUGUGCCUCACACUUCUCUGUGCUCCAUCGAACUCACCCACGUCACUGCAUUGGUUUUGGCCUCUUUCCUCCUGCACCCUGGACCCUCUUGUGUGUCCCCAAGCUGUGACUUUAGCUAAAUACAGGUCCCCAUGUUGCCCUCACUCCCUGCUCCUGCUCCUCAGCUCCCCCUAAGUCCCUGCCUGGAAUUCUGAGAAGCUGCCCCUUCCCUCUGUCUUUCAAGGCUCUUUCUCCUCUAGUUAGAAGUGACCUACCUGUCUCUUAGAUGCUUUCAAUUCCAGGAGCAUCCAGCUGAGGGAAGACUACUGACAUCUUGGCUGAGGACUGUCUCAAUCCAAAUUUACUGGGAAUGACUGCUGCGUUGGUCUCUCUGAUAGAGAAUGUUGGAAGAUGGAGCAGUUUUGGUUACUGUUGAUUUGUGUCAGCAGAUCCUAAGGGAAAAAUAUUGGAUAAUUCAAGACUCAUUAGACAUGGUCCUCUCUCUUGUUCUUUUCUUCGGCUCCCUGCUUUCCCAGGAAGGUUGUUCAGCCUGUUGUCCCCUUCUCAGUGACUUUUGUUUUUCUUUUUUCUUACUAUUGUUUUCUCCUUGGUGUUCAAAUAAUUGUGAGGGUAAAUUAAUUAAAUUGAAAACAAAAGAAAAAUAAUAAGUCUCAAAAAACACCCUCAAGACAAUGUCCAAUCACAAUUAUAGAAAAAGCUGAUCGUGCUGUGACCGUACAAGUCUUGAAGAAAAACUCAAAAACAAACUGCAAACAGGGCAGAGGGGGGAGCAAAAGGAAAAUGCAUGACAAAUCCACAUGAAGUGUCCCAGACAGCUUUUGUCUGCACAGAAAUGUUUUUAUGGGAUUCUCUGCAGAAAAAGGAACAAAAAAAUUAAGGAGUUGGGUUCAAAAGAUCAAGUUGCAUUUUCAUUGAUCUCAGACUUGUAAGAGCUGCCUCAUCAAUCACAGUUGCUCAAAAAUUCCUAUUAAUGGCCUCAAGUGCUGGGGCGGCCCAUAUGGUUCAUCUUUGUAGCAUUUGGGCAACUCCCUGGGAGCAGUAUGAGAUCUGUCAGUGUCAGAGCCAGACAUUCUGUGCUCAUCCCUACAUUCCUGCAAGCAGUGUAAGGAGAAUAACAUCACUACAAGACUGAGAAGCUCCAUCUGAUUCAGGAUACAAGUAGCAGUAGAGAAUGAGAAAAGAAUAAAAGCCAAAUAAUUUGGCUUUCAGAGACACUGUCGACAACUGCAAACCUGGGUAAAAGUCCCAGUGUGUAGUCUAGGAGAUGUAUGGGACAGCUUCAAGCCAAGGCGCUGCACAGCACUGCACAGAAAUAAACACCUGUUUGCUCUUACAGAGCUGAGAGCAUGGCUGGUGGAGGCUUUCAGACUGGAAAGGAAAAUUAAGAGGAGUAUCCCCUAAUACUAUGCUGGAUGAUGUGAUUAACACCAUGGUGGGCUGGAAGCCUUGUCAGGUACAGCUUGAGCUUGUCUUGUCCUGAGCAACAAAGUCAGCAUGGUGUUAGAGCACUGAAUGGUAACAUUUAGACAGAGCUCUGUUGCUGUGCAGGCAGGAGCUGUGCUCCUCACCGCUGAUUCAUGCCCAUGGGAGCCAGAUGUGCUUCAACUGAACUGAAGACUUUAGCUGCUGGCUUCGGCAUUGGACAUCCACAGUAGUAUGGACAGAUGUUCUUGAUGAUGGCCUCUUCCCUUCUGCACCCUGGACUCUCUUGUGUGUUUCCAAGCUGUGACUUUAACAGGUACCCAUGUCACCCUCACUCCUGCCCCUGCUCCUCAGGCUCUCCCUAUUUCCCUGCCUGGAUUUUUAAGAAGCUGCAUCUUGAUGAUGAGCAUGUUUCCCAUAUUCCAGAGGAUUAUCCCAACUAGCCAAACUGACUCCAUGUCCUUAAUGCCAUUCCUUGGAGACAAUUCAGAUCCAGAGCCAAAAUUCAACAAAUCUCUCUAAUGGGUACAAUUUUUCCUUUGUAGUAAUUUCUCUUUCUUUCUCACAUUGGGAAAAUUGUCAUGAAGACACAUUUUUUAAAUGGAUCUUCAACUCAAGUUGACAUUGGACUUAAUUAGCAACAAAAUAACUCAGAAAUGUACACCGAAAAUAAUUGUGCUGCAGCCUGACUUUGGUAAGAGUUAAAGCAUUCACUUUACCACUGUUGUCCCAAAAGCUGAGCUGAGUUUUCAGAGACAUGGAACACCUCUCCUGUGAGGAAACAUUGAGAGUUGAAGUUGUUGAUCCUGGAGAAGAGAAGGCUCCAGGGAGACCUUGUAGCAGCCUUCCAGUACCUGAAGGAGGACGGACUUUUUCGUAGGAUCUGUUGCGAUAUUACAAGAGGCAAAGCCCCAAGUGGGUGAAGAAAAUGCAGCUGCUGAGACCAGACCAGAAGGAUUUGGGAGCACAUCCACCCAUGUCACUACAGACUCUCUUCAGGGGCUGCUGGGUCAAGGACAACUUGUGUCUGAGGACAACACUGAGGACAGAACUUCUAUUCUUUCCUCUGUACACCACCAAAAUAGUCCCAGGAGAAAGACUCCAUCUGCACUGACUCUUCAGGGAUUGGACACCAGCAGCCAAUAACACUUUUCUUUCCAGUAUUGCCAUGAAAAAAAAAGAAACCACCAAAUCCUCCAAAAGGAAAUCUGAAAAGGUGCAACAGGAAGACAGUGAAGCCAAGAAAUGGAAAUGGACACUUUGGGAUUGCUACAAGAAGCUCUGGUUCAGUGAGAUUUGCUGUGCUGCUGCUUUGUUGGCCUAGGAGAUACAUUAGAAGACGAUAUUUAGAAAUCAUAAAUAAUCUCAUUAUAUUGCAUCUGGUAGCAUUCUGGAAAACAUGGAUAAAAGCAGUGGAGAACUGAGUUACAGAAACCCCCAGCAGCACAACUGAGGCAACAGAUGAGGGGAGAAAAAACCAUAGAUAUUAUAGAUGGAUGAACCUUGAGAAUUUUUUAGGUUUGGAUUCAAGCUCAACUGAAAUUGAGAUUACCUGCUUGCCUUGUAGGGGCAACUCAUAGAUGCUGCAUGUUGCUCCUUCUGUUGUAGAACUGAGGGUCUUAGAAAUGGAAAAUAGCACUGGGCAUCUAGUUCACUGCCCACCCAGAACUGACCCUGCAGGACUUUCCUGAUCUUUAGGACUGCAACCCUGUUUUACAGCUAAAUUAAAAUUUUUAUUUGGCAUUCCCCUUGAAUUUCCCAUUUCUCAUUCUAUCUUCCAUUCACAAACUGUAGAUCACUGCUGAAAGUCAGUAUCAAAGGGUGUCCAACUUCCCUGAACAUAGGUCACAUUGGUUUGUAUAAGGCUAUGGCUCCAUUUCUUAUAUAUUGUUCCUUGAUGCAAAUACAACAAACACAGAAUAGUCUGCCAGCUUAGAACUGAAAGUGGUGGACAUCAAGAGAAACCUUCAUGUGAUCAUGGCAGGCUCAUACACUCACAAGGUGAAUAUGACCUGGAUAUUAGAAAGGAGAAGGCAAAGAACUAAGGCCAUAUGAGAGCUAAGCCUUGCUCCCCCUCCCUGCCUCUUUCACUUUGUACUAUUUAUAAGCCCGAGUUGACAGCUUGAACUAUGGUCAUGUUAGGCAGAUAUUUCCAGCCUUACAUUUCUCCUAUGACAUUACAGAACCUCCCCACUAUGUCCUGUGUGGUGGAAAAGACAGAUUCCAGAAUUAUUUUGUUCCCCAGUUUGGAUCUGUGCAUGAGUAGACGUAAGACAGGAGCCAGGGUCUUCAUUUUUUCAACAGCAACCAAGUAUGAUAAAUCAAGAAUUACUACUAAACAGGUUUUUAACUCCGCAAGUUCUUUGGAUCAGAUUGUUUCCUUCCCAGAUCAUGGUAGUGACAGAAAAAACUUCCCAACAGGGGCAGACAGCUGAGGUAACUCCUAAUAUUUCAUGGUGUUUGUCUCACCCUAAAUAAAGAACAAACUACUAGGCAUUGCAUAAAACCAUUUAUGUUGGUGUAUAGACAAUGUAACCAGUUUCAUGUGCUUUCAAUUGUGAGUGUUUAAUGGUUAGUUGCUGGAUAUAUUUAGUCGCUAUAAACAGUGCAUACAAUACUGUAUACAAUGUAAACAACACAUUUAAUACAGCACAUUUUACAUUGAAGAA